rnacentral:lncRNA from 1 species
AAUAAAUACAAAACAAAGGAAAUAAAGGCCAGAACGUGACAGAUAUACUGUAACCACAACUAGAAUGAGUAGAACAGGCCUCCUCAUUCAAGUCAAUGAUUCCAUAAUGGGUGGACUGGCAGCCAUCCUUUCUAGACAUUAUAUUUCUGUGACUGUGACAACGUUCUGCCGUUACAUCGCUGAUGAGGUCACUUCCUGUCCCUCUUUCUCCUCUCCAGUCAGUUCAGAUGAGAUGUCAGUUAGUUGUUGAUGUUCAGCUCAAGACUCAACAUGAUCAGAACCCUCUUACUCGGUUGGCUCUCAGGUCUCUGUCUCAGUGUUGAGGUUCACCAGACUCCCUCUGCAGUCUUCAGCAGACCUGGAGAGAAUGUUCAACUCUUCUGCCAACAUCMGAAAACAGACUAYASASURAURYUGUGGUACCAGAAAHCACRAGGAGAAACAGCWCUGAAACUCAUUGGAWAUYUGWAUYWUAADWMUCMAACCAUUGARAGUUCAUAUGARAAGCAUUUUAAUAUGAGUGGGGAUUUGGGUGGAGGUGGCCCAAAGAAUGCCUCUCUGAACAUGUUCAACUUGAGACGACCCCAACACAGUGCAGUGUAUUUCUGUGCUGCUAGUAAGGCACCGUGUUGCAGAUUCCCCUGUCUACACUACAAAAACCUUCUCUCAGUCACUGUCUCACUAGAUUAUACUGAAGCAUCACCUCCCUCACACCUGCACUGA